rnacentral:rRNA from 1 species
UGCGUAGGUGGCGUGGUAAGUCAGAUGUGAAAUCCCCGAGCUUAACUUGGGAAUUGCAUUCGAUACUGGUUGGCUAGAGUAUGGGAGAGGAUGGUAGAAUUCCAGGUGUAGCGGUGAAAUGCGUAGAGAUCUGGAGGAAUACCGAUGGCGAAGGCAGCCAUCUGGCCUAAUACUGACACUGAGGUGCGAAAGCAUGGGGAGCAAACAGGAUUAGAUACCCCAGUA